GUAAGCAUCCAGAGGACUACGAGUUCUGGCACAUUGACAUUUUGCCGUGUCGUUUCUGAGCAGAGAGGUGCUGAAGCUUACUUGCCUCAAACAAGAAAAAUCUAGUUGUUGGAAGACUGACUCCAAAGAAAGAAGACUUGGAUGAAGAGAAUAUUGGACAAGGACCUAGUAUACAUGUGAAAGCUGUAUUUGUUUGAUGUUUAUUAUUGAGAAAUACCUUCUUGGGGAAGAAAAGGCCAGUCUUUGGUUUGUUCUUCUCUUUUGAUGGGAGUCAACUCUUCUAUUCGACUUCAAGAAUGUAUUUUGGGAGCCUGGUAUUCCCAGUUGCCUGUCACCCUCCCAGUAUUCAAGUACAACCACUUCCACCUGGUGCCCUUCCACCAGCUUCCUAGGAUAAUUCUAGAAAAGUCUCACACCAAGCCUUGCCCAUAGCAGGAUUAGAGUUCCUGGGACUAAGAGAAGCAGAUCCUCAGAAACGAAAGAUUAUUUGCCUUUUAUAACUAGAAAGACAAGACGCAUUAUACAGUUCUUGAAAGUCACAAAGCUAGUAAUGAAAAUGUUAAGGGGCAUUGCAACAUAGUAUGAUUUGGAAUGGAUGGAAAAUAUGCCUCUCCGACUUCCCUGGUGGCUCAGCGGAUAAGAAUCUGUCUGCAAAUGCAGGGGACAUGGGUUCGAGCCCUGGUUAGGGAAGA